GGCGAACGGGUGAGUAACGCGUAAGUACCUGCCAAGGGGUGGGGGAUAACCCUGAGAAAUCGGGGCUAAUACCGCAUGAAAUCCCUUCGGGGAUGAAAGCUGAGGCGCCUCUUGAGGGGCUUGCGUCCGAUUAGCUAGUUGGUGGGGUAAAGGCCUACCAAGGCCAUGAUCGGUAGCUGGUCUGAGAGGAUGGUCAGCCACACUGGGACUGAGACACGGCCCAGACUCCUACGGGAGGCAGCAGCAAGGAAUCUUGCGCAAUGGGCGAAAGCCUGACGCAGCAACGCCGCGUGGGUGAAGAAGGCCUUCGGGUUGUAAAGCCCUUUUCUCGGGGAAGAAUGAUGACGGUACCCGAGGAAUAAGCCUCGGCUAACUACGUGCCAGCAGCCGCGGUAAGACGUAGGAGGCGAGCGUUAUCCGGAUUUACUGGGCGUAAAGAGCGCGUAGGCGGCCUGAAAAGUCCCCUGUGAAAUCUCCCGGCUCAACCGGGAGGGGUCAGGGGAAACUCUCCGGCUUGAGGGCAGAAGGGGGAAGUGGAAUUCCCGGUGGAGUGGUGAAAUGCGUAGAUAUCGGGAGGAACACCAGUGGCGAAGGCGGCUUCCUGGGCUGCCCCUGACGCUGAGGCGCGAAAGCGUGGGUAGCAAAC
rnacentral:rRNA from 1 species